GACUGUUCCUCAGCUUGCAGUCAUUACCUUUGUGGGAAUUCUUGGAGGUGUUUACAUCUGGAAGCCUCUGCUUAUCAAGUUCAAGACUGAAACGUCCAGUAGUGUAAUUGCAGAGUCUUCUAAGUGAAUCAAUAGCUACUGAUAUAACUGUUUGUAUUUACCAGUAUCAAGAAGUGCUAACAUCCAAGGAUGUCAUCAGUUAAAUUCCUCUCUGACAGGUGCCUUAGUAACUACUGCUUCCUUUGUCAUUGGGUACAAGUGGUUUGUCGGCCCAAUUCUGCACAGGAAUAAGCAAAUGAGGUAAAAAAGAAAUUGCUGAUGUUAUAUAUGAAUUUAGGUAUGGCCAUCAGAACCAAGAACAGGCAGUUUUUCCCUCUCCUUCAUCUACUGAGACAGUGAAGCAUGAUGCAGAAACUUAGAAGUCUAUGUAAAAAGUUUGUAAAUAUUUUAAAACUUAAAAUAAAAUAAA